GCCUGACAGGCUCAGUAGAUAGAGCAUGAGGCUCUUGAUCUUCGGGUUGAGUGUUCAAGCCUCUUGUUGGGUA
rnacentral:tRNA from 1 species